UCAGCGGACGAAAACCAUGAAAAAAUCAAAAAAUCCUUUGCUGUGUGUGUUGGUACUUGGUAGCGUGAAGCAUCGAAGUUCUACUGGGAAAAGAUGGCAUUUGACUCUUUUCCUAUGGCUCCACGUGAUUGAAAUUUGAAAUUAUGAUGCCUUUAUUCACAAAGUGAUCAACAAUUGAAGUCCUAAAUUUGUAAAGUCUCAUCCCGCAGACAUGAGUUAACAUGUGGUUUUGGCUACCAGGUAACUUUUGGACUAGGUCGGGUCUCGGGUGGUCCAAGUUUGCUGUUCUUAUGUAGUCUUGUCAGGGAAUGUGAAGAAAAAGGUGACUUCUAUUGAGGGAUUCCCUGAUUGACAUAGCCAUAGAGAUGACAUUAUACAUAAGGUUGCUGGAUUGGUGACACUGAAUGGUGACAAUUAUGAUUCAGUAAAAUGAAGGCCAAAAUAUUUCAACUGUUUGUCUUGGUUACCUUAAUAAAAUCUUUUCUGUUGAGCUUCCUGCUUCUAUUUACUAUUUCUUAACAUUUUCAGUCCUGUCUAGUGCUUUUAAUGUUUAGUUGAACCCCUCAUUUGUGGUACCAAGUUUCCAUAGUUCUUUCUUUCAUUUUGCAAUGGUUUCUUCAAUGCUAAGACUACACAUCUAUUUGAAGACUUGCUGACAGUCUACUCCUGCAAUUUUGGAUAUUUUCAUUUGUAUUAAAUAAUUUGAUUGCUUUUGUGGGUAGAGAUCAUCUUCACUUGU